rnacentral:rRNA from 1 species
CUGCGAAUGGCUCAUUAAAUCAGUUAUCGUUUAUUUGAUAGUACCUUACUACUUGGAUAACCGUGGUAAUUCUAGAGCUAAUACAUGCUAAAAACCCCAACUUCGGGAGGGGUGUAUUUAUUAGAUAAAAAACCAAUGCCCUUCGGGGCUCCUUGGUGAUUCAUGAUAACUUCUCAGAUCGCAUGGCUUUACGCCGGCGACGGUUCAUUCAAAUUUCUGCCCUAUCAACUUUCGAUGGUAAGGUAGUGGCUUACCAUGGUUUCAACGGGUAACGGGGAAUUAGGGUUCGAUUCCGGAGAGGGAGCCUGAGAAACGGCUACCACAUCCAAGGAAGGCAGCAGGCGCGCAAAUUACCCAAUUCCGAUACGGAGAGGUAGUGACAAUAAAUACUGAUACAGGGCUCUUUUGGGUCUUGUAAUUGGAAUGAGUACAAUUUAAACCUCUUAACGAGGAACAAUUGGAGGGCAAGUCUGGUGCCAGCAGCCGCGGUAAUUCCAGCUCCAAUAGCGUAUAUUAAAGUUGUUGCAGUUAAAAAGCUCGUAGUUGAACCUUUGGCCUGGCUGGCAGGUCCGCCUCACCGCGUGCACUUGUCCGGCCGGGCCUUUUCUUCUGGAGAACCGCAUGCCCUUCACUGGGUGUGUUGGGGACCAGGACUUUUACUUUGAAAAAAUUAGAGUGUUCAAAGCAGGCCUUUGCUCGAAUACGUUAGCAUGGAAUAAUAGAAUAGGACGUGCGGUCCUAUUUUGUUGGUUUCUAGGACCGCCGUAAUGAUUAAUAGGGACAGUCGGGGGCAUCAGUAUUCAAUUGUCAGAGGUGAAAUUCUUGGAUUUAUUGAAGACUAACUACUGCGAAAGCAUUUGCCAAGGAUGUUUUCAUUAAUCAGUGAACGAAAGUUAGGGGAUCGAAGACGAUCAGAUACCGUCGUAGUCUUAACCAUAAACUAUGCCGACUAGGGAUCGGGCGGUGUUUCUAUUGUGACCCGCUCGGCACCUUACGAGAAAUCAAAG